UACAGAGGUCUCAAGCGUUGUUCGGAUCCAUUGGGCGUAAAGGGUGCGUAGGUGGCGGGGUAAGUCAGGUGUGAAAUCUCGGGGCUCAACCCCGAAACUGCACUUGAUACUGCCUUGCUCGAGUACUGGAGAGGAGAUUGGAAUUUACGGUGUAGCAGUGAAAUGCGUAGAUAUCGUAAGGAAGACCAGUGGCGAAGGCGAAUCUCUGGACAGUUACUGACACUGAGGCACGAAGGCCAGGGGAGCAAACGGG
rnacentral:rRNA from 1 species